UUACGAGGAAACUGUGCUCCGGGCUUUAAACACGUUUCAUAAUCUCAACGCGCUGACAUAAUUAUUCUUUUCCCAGCAACAGAACGAUACAAUUAAGCCUCACACCUCGGUGGUAAAACGUCGCACAACAAAUACGUAUUCACAGCCAAGAGCACAAAAAUUCGCCGAAAUAGAGAACUGAACUACCAGGAAUGUCACUGCAUCGACUGUAUAAUUGGGUUGCACAAGGACUGCUGCAAAUCGUUUCAUGCGAUUAAAGUUGCAUGAAAACAUAGUGGAAUAAACAUAUAAAGUGAGGAA